AUUGAACGAUGGCGGCAGGCUUAACACAUGCAAGUCGAGAGAGAGGCGGACGGGUGAGUAAUGUCUGUGAAACUGCCUGAUGGAGGGGGAUAAAUACUGGAAAAGGUAGAUAAUCCCGCAUACCAUCAGAUGUGCCCAGAUGGGAUUAGCUAGUAGGUGGGGGAAUGGCGCACCUAGGCGCCGAUCCCUAGCUGGUCUGAGAGGAUGACCAGCCAAACUGGAACUGAGACACGGUCCAGACUCCUACUGGAGGCACCAGUGGGGAGUCUUGCACAAUGGGCGCAAGCCUGAUGCAGCCAUGCCGCGUGUGUGAAGAAGGCCUUCGGGUUGUAAAGCACUUUCAGCGAGGAGGCGUUACUCGCAGAAGAAGCACCUGCUAACUCCGUGCCAGCCGCCGCGGUAAUAC
rnacentral:rRNA from 1 species